CUUCAUGCCUCCUUCCCCUUCUCUUCAUCCCCUGGUUUUUUGUUUUUUGUUUUUAUUCUCUCUCCUCCCUUCACACCACUGCGCCGCCGCCCCGUCUCGCUCCUCUUCACGCCAGCCCACCCAGUUUCUUUAUUUCUUGAUCUCCCUACAGACAUUUCAUUUCAAUGGAAGCCGAAGGGCAACGAACAUCCUCAAAUCCCUCUGCAGUUCUUGCUGCUCUGUUGUCCAAACGAGCCAAACUUCAUGAUGAUCUCCGAAACCUCGAAAAACAGGUUUAUGAUAUGGAGACUAUUUACCUACAGGAUCCUAGUCAAUGUGGAAAUGUACUAAAAGGAUUUGAAGGAUUUUUAUCUUCGUCUAAGAGAACCAGCUUGUAAGCUUUAUUAGAUGCGGAAGAAGGUAAGGGAGAUGAGGGGUGAGUGGGGGCGGAGGGACUGCGGGAUGAA